rnacentral:rRNA from 1 species
GAUGAACGCUAGCGGGAGGCUUAACACAUGCAAGCCGAGGGGUAUAUUGUUUUCGGACAAUAGAGACCGGCGGACGGGUGAGUAACGCGUAUGUAACUUGCCGCAUUCAUCGGGAUAGCCCGGGGAAACCCGGAUUAAUACCGAAUAACAUUAGGACUGGCAUCGGUUUUAAUUGAAAGAUUUAUCGGAAUGCGAUAGACAUGCGUCAGAUUAGUUAGUUGGUGAGGUAACGGCUCACCAAGACGAUGAUCUGUAGGGGUCCUGAGAGGGUGAUCCCCCACACUGGUACUGAGACACGGACCAGACUCCUACGGGAGGCAGCAGUGAGGAAUAUUGGACAAUGGGUGAGAGCCUGAUCCAGCCAUCCCGCGUGCAGGAAGACGGCCUUAUGGGUUGUAAACUGCUUUUAUACAGGAAUAAACCAUCCGACGUGUCGGAUGUUGAAGGUACUGUAUGAAUAAGCAUCGGCUAACUCCGUG